rnacentral:rRNA from 1 species
UACGAAGGGGGCGCGCGUUGUUCGGAAUUACUGGGCGUAAAGGGCGCGCAGGCGGCUCUGCAAGUCAGAUGUGAAAGCCCCGGGCUUAACCUGGGAAUUGCAUUUGAUACUCUGGAGCUUGAGUACGGGAGAGGAGAGUGGAAUUCCCAGUGUAGAGGUGAAAUUCGUAGAUAUUGGGAAGAACACCGGUGGCGAAGGCGGCUCUCUGGACCGUAACUGACGCUGAGGCGCGAAAGCGUGGGGAGCAAACAGG